rnacentral:rRNA from 1 species
CAAUAGCGUAUAUUAAAGUUGUUGCAGUUAGAACGCUCGUAGUCGGAUUUCGGGGCGGGCCGACCGGUCUGCCGAUGGGUAUGCACUGGUCGGCGCGUCCUUCCUUCCGGAGACCGUCCCUACUCUUAACUGAGCGGGGGCGGGAGACGGGACUUUUACUUUGAAAAAAUCAGAGUGUUUCAAGCAGGCAGCUCGCUCUUGCAUGGAUUAGCAUGGGAUAAUGAAAUAGGACUUUGGUGCUAUUUUGUUGGUUUCGAACACCGAAGUAAUGAUGAGAAGGGACAGUCAGGGGCACUCGUAUUCCGUCGAGAGAGGUGAAAUUCUCAGACCAGCGGAAGACGAACCACUGCGAAAGCAUUUGCCAGGGAUGUUUUCACUGA